AUUGAACGCUGGCGGCAGGCCUAACACAUGCAAGUCGAGCGGAUGAAGGGAGCUUGCUCCUGGAUUCAGCGGCGGACGGGUGAGUAAUGCCUAGGAAUCUGCCUGGUAGUGGGGGAUAACGUCCGGAAAUGGGCGCUAAUACCGCAUACGUCCUGAGGGAGAAAGUGGGGGAUCUUCGGACCUCACGCUAUCAGAUGAGCCUAGGUCGGAUUAGCUAGUUGGUGGGGUAAAGGCCUACCAAGGCGACGAUCCGUAACUGGUCUGAGAGGAUGAUCAGUCACACUGGAACUGAGACACGGUCCAGACUCCUACGGGAGGCAGCAGUGGGGAAUAUUGGACAAUGGGCGAAAGCCUGAUCCAGCCAUGCCGCGUGUGUGAAGAAGGUCUUCGGAUUGUAAAGCACUUUAAGUUGGGAGGAAGGGCAGUAAGCUAAUACCUUGCUGUUUUGACGUUACCAACAGAAUAAGCACCGGCUAACUUCGUG
rnacentral:rRNA from 1 species